rnacentral:rRNA from 1 species
CCUACGGGAGGCAGCAGUGAGGAAUAUUGGUCAAUGGCCGGAAGGCUGAACCAGCCAUGCCGCGUGAAGGUCAGUGCCCUAUGGGCGUUAAACUUCUUUUGUGCGGGAGCAAUAAUGGUCACGUGUGGCCAGACGAGAGUACCGUACGAAUAAGCGUCGGCUAACUCCGUGCCAGCAGCCGCGGUAAUACGGGGGAUGCAAGCGUUAUCCGGAUUUAUUGGGUUUAAAGGGUGCGUAGGCUGGGAGGUAAGUCAGCGGGGAAAUGCCCCCGCUCAACGGGGUGAAGGGCCAUUGAUACUGGCUGGCUGGAAUGCGGAUGCAGUGGGAGGAAUGUGUGGUGUAGCGGUGAAAUGCAUAGAUAUCACACAGAACACCGAUUGCGAAGGCAUCUCACGAAUCCGCGAUUGACGCUGAGGCACGAAAGCGUGGGUAUCAAACAGGAUUAGAUACCCUGGUAGUC